rnacentral:rRNA from 1 species
UACGUAGGGGGCAAGCGUUGUCCGGAUUUAUUGGGCGUAAAGAGCGUGUAGGCGGCCAGGUAGGUCCGUUGUGAAAACUGGGAGGCUUAACCUCCAGCUGUCGAUGGAAACCAUCUGGCUAGAGUCCGGAAGAGGAGAGUGGAAUUUCCGGUGUAGCGGUGAAAUGCGUAGAUAUCGGAAGGAACACCAGUGGCGAAAGCGGCUUCCUGGUCCAGCACCGACGUUCAGGCACGAAAGCGUGGGGAGCAAACAGG